AAGAGGAGGGGAGAGGGGGGUGGGGAGGGGGGGGAAAGAUUCUCUCUCUCUCUCUCUCCCCCCCCAUCCCUCUCUUCACCACCAUCCA